CGCUCAGCUCCUGUACCUGUACACAAAGAGCAUUUCAGGAUAGGCUUGCUUCAGUACUUUGCUCAGCUGUGUUCUCUCUUGUCUCUGCAGUUCUGAAUGACAUCAUCUCCACCAUGUUCAAUAGAAAGUUUAUGGAGGAAUUAUUCAAGCCUCAAGAGCUCUACUCCAAGAAGGCCCUGAGGACUGUCUAUGAGCGCCUGGCUCAUGCCUCCAUUAUGAAACUGAACCAGGCCAGCAUGGAUAAGCUCUAUGACCUGAUGACCAUGGCUUUCAAAUAUCAAGUAUUGCUGUGUCCCCGACCCAAGGAUGUGCUGCUGGUCACUUUCAAUCACUUGGAUACCAUCAGGGGAUUCAUCCGAGACUCCCCAACCAUCCUGCAGCAAGUGGAUGAGACUUUCCGGCAGCUGACAGAAAUAUAUGGUGGUCUCUCUGCAGGGGAGUUCCAGCUGAUCCGGCAGACACUCCUCAUCUUCUUCCAAGACCUGCACAUCCGAGUAUCCAUGUUUCUAAAGGACAAAGUUCAGAAUAAUAACGGUCGCUUUGUGUUGCCGGUGUCCGGGCCUGUUCCUUGGGGAACUGAAGUUCCAGGACUCAUCAGAAUGUUCAACAACAAAGGUGAAGAAGUGAAGAGGAUAGAAUUCAAGCAUGGUGGAAACUAUGUCCCUGCACCCAAAGAAGGUUCUUUUGAACUUUAUGGAGACCGAGUCCU
rnacentral:sRNA from 1 species